rnacentral:pre_miRNA from 1 species
AGACCCUGGUCUGCACUCUAUCUGUAUUCUUACUGAAGGGAGUGCAGGGCAGGGUUUCC